GAAGCACAGAGUCCUGCCGAACAUCCAAUUACUGAAGUAUUCCCUGCACCCAGCCAGCUUCCUAUAACACCUCCUAUGCGAAGUUCUUUUGAUUUAGAAUUGUGACUACAGAAGGAGCACAACCCACAGUCUCCAAUGGCCGUGCUUCUCCUGUAAGUCACCAUGGGGUUAAAUUCUGUGAUUUCAACGUGGUUCCUGAUCCAGUCCUUGACUGUACCACGGCUGUUGACCAUGGCUCUUCUGCGUUCAAUACCUGGCGGCUGGCCUUGGGCUUGACUGACCUCUGGAGGCGGAAAAACACUGGGUCCUCAUUCUUCUUUUACUCUGCGUGCCAUAGGUCGUUUUCUUGCAUAGAUCUGGCUUUGGCGUCCGAGGAUCUUCUUCCGGUGAUUCAGGAAGCUAUAAAAGGAAUCGCCAAACAGGGAUUGUCAGUCUGCAUUGAGCAUUGAAAAGGAAAGUGUGGUUUGUGGCUCUUUGCUGUCAGACGAUGUGCCUGGAGUUUAUUCACCAUGUAGAAAAUGUACAUUCUUUUCAGUUUUGAUGUUCUGCUGCUGAGGAACAUGAGGAGAAGACGAAGAGGAGAGACAGGAACAGAGACAACACUAUUGGAUCCACCCCAUCACAUCUGCUCAGAUGACUCAUGGGCUGCAUGCCACCCUAUAUGUCGAGCUUCAUAGCCAUCUGGAAAUGUUUUCCCCUAACAGAUGAUUCAAUGCCUGGACUUAACCUAAAAAUUGCCAGGAAUAUGUUGAAAGCUGCAACCAAACAGGCGGUCCCAUGUGGUAGUAAAGAAUACCCCUGAUCAUUACUGGCAGCCUGUAAGUGAAGACCCCCACAGUCACUGGAGCACUGGAUCAAGUGCUUUCCAUGCUGCUGACUAUAGACAAGGUGCAGUGGGUGAGAAGCCCAAGUUUUUUCAUUGGCUAAGGGCCUGAAGUACAGUUAAUCCACCGCUGUAUAAAACAUCUCAUCUGCAGACAACAAUAAAGACAAAUACUAGUCACCUCUGUGAGGAAUCAGGAGCAACGGGAUUUUUAAUAAUCAUCAAUUCCAAAUCUCAGCAGCUGCUGCAACGAUUUAUCCCACAACUAGAGAAAGUUUCUAUAUAUUUUACACUCCUUGUUGAAAACUAUAUAAAAAUAGCUGGAAGCAGAAACACUUUAGAUACAAAAUAAAUGUCAUUUAGAUAGGAAUACUUUCUAUUAUGACUUCAUUUAAGGUGGCCUUUUCAUUCAUGUUUACUCAGAUCAUGGAAUGCAAUUAAAGCUGGUGUCAGGAGAAGGGCACCUUCCACCA